rnacentral:rRNA from 1 species
UACAGAGGGUGCGAGCGUUGUUCGGAAUCAUUGGGCGUAAAGCGCGCGUAGGUGGCCUCAUAAGUCCGCUGUGAAAGCCAAAGGCUCAACCUUUGAAAGCCGGUGGAUACUGUGAGGCUAGAGUACGGAAGAGGCGAGUGGAAUUCCUGGUGUAGCGGUGGAAUGCGCAGAUAUCAGGAGGAACACCAAUAGCGAAGGCAGCUCGCUGGGACGUUACUGACACUGAGGCGCGAAAGCGUGGGGAGCGAACAGG